rnacentral:rRNA from 1 species
UACGGGGGGGGGCAAGCGUUGUUCGGAAUUACUGGGCGUAAAGGGCUCGUAGGCGGCCAACUAAGUCAGACGUGAAAUCCCACGGCUCAACCGUGGAAGUGCCUCUGAUACUGGCCAUCUCGAGGGAGGUAGGGGCGUGCGGAACUUCCGGUGGAGCGGUGAAAUGCGUAGAUAUCGGAAGGAACGCCGGUGGCGAAAGCGGCGCGCUGGACCUCUUCUGACGCUGAGGCGCGAAAGCCAGGGGAGCAAACGGG